rnacentral:rRNA from 1 species
GACGAACGCUGGCGGCGUGCUUAACACAUGCAAGUCGAACGGAAAGGCCCUGCUUUUGUGGGGUGCUCGAGUGGCGAACGGGUGGGUAACACGUGAGUAACCUGCCCUUGACUUUGGGAUAACUUCAGGAAACUGGGGCUAAUACCGGAUAGGAGCUCCUGCUGCAUGGUGGGGGUUGGAAAGUUUCGGCGGUUGGGGAUGGACUCGCGGCUUAUCAGCUUGUUGGUGGGGUAGUGGCUUACCAAGGCUUUGACGGGUAGCCGGCCUGAGAGGGUGACCGGCCACAUUGGGACUGCGAUACGGCCCAGACUCCUACGGGAGGCAGCAGUGGGGAAUAUUGCACAAUGGGCGGAAGCCUGAUGCAGCAACGCCGCGUGCGGGAUGCCGGCCUUCGGGUUGUAAACCGCUUUCGCCUGUGACGAAGCGUGAGUGACGGUAAUGGGUAAAGAAGCACCGGCUAACUACGUG